UGGCGAAUGAAUGUUGUUUGGUGAUGAUGGUGAUAACAAUGGUGAAAGUCUAAUUCUACUUUUGCUCUUUGAGGGGAUACAUACCUUUCUUGCUUUUUUGAAACUUUGUAAGGAGAAUGAGAUGCUCUUCUUUUUUCUUUUCUCUCAGGUGGGUAUCUUGUACCCGUAAUUCUACUGUUAGACACUUGUCCAUGUUUACCUCUCGUCUCACUUUUUCUUUUCUUUCGAGGUUCCGGGCACUUGCCCCUUUUUAUUUCCUUGUAUCUCUUUUCCUCUCUCUCUUUUUUUAGAGCACUCAUCUCUUGAGAUAAUAUAGAAAGUGGUAGUAACAAGAUAACUUGAGCAUUUAUUUCAUAGGGGAAAAAUAGAAAUAUUUUUGGCUAUUCUCUCCCGGAUUAGGAGUAGAAUAUUUUUGGGUGAUUCUGGAGAUGGAAAUGGAUGGAUAUAUGUGGAUGGUACUUCCGGAGUAGAAGCAGCAUGUGUGAGUGAACGUGCAAGUGAAUCUUGAUUUAACAACAUGGCAAGCUCCUAAGGGUCUACACAGCUUGACCACACUCAAUGCUCAUCAGCAGUAAAAAGUAAAUGUGUGGCUCAAAGUCUAGCAAGCAUGUAUAUAUGGCUGUGGUAGAAAAUUAAACUCUCAUCAUACAAGAACUCAUCAUGCAAUAUUUUAAAGAUUUUCAAAGAUAAAAUUCUCCAGAAUUCUAGCAUCUCUAGGAACAGAUAGACAACAGCUCAACCUUCCCAUAUCAUAUCCGUUAACAACUUAGACUUCAGAUCAAGUUUUCUUCACAUAAGUUUAGGUUUUGAGCAAGCUUUAAAUUAUAACAGUUAUGUCUAAACUUGAGAGAACUUCAAAUUUAAAAAUUAGGAAGAGCAACUAUUCAUCAUAUCAAUGCUAGAGUUUUAUUAUUAAGAUUCAGAUUAGCAUAGCCACUUUAUUUAUUUAUUAAACACACUAAGCAAAAGGUAUAUAUAUAUAAACCUAAAAUCUUUAUUUGGUUUUUCAUAAUUAUUUAUAUCUAUAUUUUAAUAUAGUAUAACUAUAAAGAUAGAUAGAAAUACUUAUCGGGAUAAAUGGGGGUGCUCUCCCCCAAGCUGAAUUUUGACGUAAUUUCUUUUUGAUGUAGCUAGCAGGUGGCAGAGGUGUAUUUGAAAGUCGGCAGUAUCUUGACAACGAUUAGAAUGUCCUCCGUCUGCUAGUCUUCUCGAUUCUUAAAUUCUGUGGAGCUCAAAUAGACAACAAAGCUUUGUGGAACUGAUUAAGUGUUAGCAUAAAUAUCUAGCCUUUAUCAUGUUGAGUCUCCUCAAUAAAUGUUACUCUCUAUUUUUAUAUUUUCAUUUUAUAAAGCAGAAAAGAAAUAUUUAUUCUAUUUUUAUGCCACCACAGUGAAUGUACUUAUGGGUCUCAUGCCACUCGUAUACUCACAUGGGGCUUAUUGUUUUUUAACAUUUUUAUUUUCUUUUUAGGAUAGUAUGAACAUGAUUAACUAAGCAAACUAUUUAAAAUAAUUGAAAGGGAAAGGAUAACUACCAAGUUUACCUCUUGGCAAGGCGUUCGGUGUUUUUAAGUCCUCCGAACGGGACUCUCCAUUUUCUCAGUUGUCCUGGGAUUCGUUGGUUGGCGUAGUCGGUACUUCCGGCGGUGCCUCCUCUUCGUGUAUGGUUAUCUUCUCUCUCCAUACCUGAACCGGUGCUACGAUCUCCUCAGGAUAAUUCUGUUUAAACUGUAUGUCUUCUGACCUUACCACUUCUCCUUCAUAGUCUGCCCAUCCGUCCUUGAUGAUUUCCCUCCUCUGGUUGCGGUUGUGUCGUUUUCUGACCUGCUUAGAGUCUUCAACAAUAUAGUUAGGGUCAGUAAAAUAGCGGCGUACCUUUUCUGAGGGGAAGUGCAUAUGGACUUCUGUUGACGGUCCUUAAUGCUCACAUUUAACCAUCAACUAAUCAUAGAAAAGGAUCCAAAUGCAACCAACACCUAGACUUAGGGUUUUAUCUGACAGAAUUCCACGAGUUUUGGUGUUUGUCUAUUUCUGUAGGGGGUUAUCAGGAAAUACGGAAGAAAGGCCCACACGUCGGGUUUACAUAGAGAUAUUAACGUGCCGCGCAAUUUUCUAUCAUCUAGAAGACUCCAGAAGCCACGGGACCGAAGCGGAAGCCGAGAGGCCUCAGGGACAGGGCGCCCGCCCUAGUCCUGAGGGCGCCCGCCCUCUCCCCUGGACCAAUCAGGGUGAAGUUCGGGGAUUAUGCUCCACCGACCUAAUACUUCAAGGAAAACCACACGAUCAAUGUCAGUUUGAUCCGACGGCCCAGAUUCACUUGAAGGGACUAUAAAACCAGACCCCCCUAGCCCCUGGAGAUCAUACCUCUUCUACAGAAUCAAAGUUAGGGUUUCAAUUCUUCAUCCAAGUAGAGAGGAUCCCUCUAGUUCUUCUAGUUCUACCUCUAGUUCAUCUAGAUCUAGUUCUAGUUCAUCUAGUUCUAGUUCUAGUUCCUCUAGUUCUAAUUCUAGUUAGUUCUAGUUGUAAUCUAGAAAAUAGGGAGAGAGAAGAGGAGAGCGGAGGAGGAGCCGGAUCUGUCGGAUCUUCCUCAACAUUGUACUUUUGCAGCAACUGGUUCGUUCUUCAUCGUUCUCCAGGUUCUUCAAUUCAUAACUCCUGAGUUCUCUAAUUACUUUUAUUUACAUUUAAGUUAUUUAUUGGAUUCCCGCUUGCAUCAAGUGCUCUAGUCUUUAUAACGCUAGAGUAGUAAUUAAUAGAUUAGACGUGGUGUUUAGUCUUGCGAUUACCUGGAAUUGCACCCAAUCCUGCGGAUUGUUGUGGUAGCCUUAGGGUAGUGACAGCCCUAACGGUCGACGUAUUCCACCACGUUCGGAUCGGUGUUUGUAGGACCGUAGUCAGACCUUCCUAGCCCCCUUCUCAUCUCUUUCUGUGGUUAGUGCUCUGAUGUCCCGAUAUAGAUAAUCUUGAAGUAAUUCUUGAUUCUUAGAUCAACUAGAGAAUUCUGAGGAAACUUCCUCUCUUCCCACCAAAAACAAUUAUAUAGUUAUCCUUAGGCGAUCUUGAUUCUUAAUUAGUACACUCACGUUCUCUGUGGAAAAUCGAUACUCUGGAAUACUCCCGGGUGAAAGCUACAUCGGUAUCCGUGCGCUUGCGGAUUUUUCUGUUUGUGUUUAAAAUACCCAACAACUUCUCUGGUUCCAAUGUAGAUGAUUGCUUUAACGGUGCUGAGGAACGGUCUUCCAAGGAUGAUGAGUGGAUCGUAUUCGUCUUCUCCCAUGUCAAUAACCUGAAAGUCUGUGUAGACAAAAUGAUCGUCUAUUUUGACUAGGACAUCAGUUACUAUUCCUUUAACUUCUUGAAAUGUCUGAUCUGCCAUCUGGAGCUGAAUGUAUGUUGGUUUUAGGGGAAUGGUUCCGAACAAGAGCCGAUAGGUGACUGCGGCCAUUAUAUUGACGCCCGAUCUGGUGUCGCAAGUCGUCUUGUAGAAGUUAUAUCCAUUUGUGGAGCAAUAGAUGCUUGGCAUUCCUGGGUCGUCCUUCUUGGUCAGAAAUGGUGACUUAAGUUGAUGAUCUUGACCUCCUUGAACUGCAGUGACCAUCUUAGCUGACUCGCUCCAUACUUGCUUGUUCCUAUUCCUCCUGUUGGUCCUCUUCCUUGAUUCACGUCUGGAUUGAUCUGGGAUUUGUGUAAUCUUGUUCUUGAAGGAAAACGUCUCCUUCUUCCCUUUGAUGUAGAAACUGAUCUUGGCAGCACUAGCAUAGAUGACAGCUCCCGAGGUGUUCAAGAAUGGCCUCCCUAGAAUGAUGGGUGCUCUCUCAUCAUUAUCGGUCUCUAUCACCACGAAGUCUGCUAGGGCAUAUAAGGUACCAACUCAGACACAAAGGUUCUUCAAUAUUCCUUUUGGAAAACUUAUCGUCUGAUCUACAAACUGCAAACACAUGGUUGUCUCUAAUAAAGGAUAUGUAAAGAAUUUUUCAUAGAGUACCCUGGGUAUAAUGUUGACACUAGAGCCAAAGUCGCAGAGUGCUUCUGGGAUGUCCACCAUGCCCAUGGAGAUCGGGAUGACAGGGCGUCCUGGAUCGCCUCUCUUGACCGGCAGAAGGUCAGUAGUAACUUCAGUGACGGGGUUACUCCAAUUACCUGCAUCAAACAUGUCUACAAGAUUUACAGAUUCUAAUCCUUCUGGUUGUGAUGGUAUAACGGGGUUAGUAGCAGGAACAGCAGCAUCUAUUUGGUUUAACUGAGAUUCAAUCAUUUUAUUAAAGCUAAUUUGAUUCUUGAUGGCAGUAGAGAAAUUAUCCAUUCUAUUGUCUAUAUUUUCUAGCAUUUUAUCAUUAGAUGCCAAUUUCAUAGAUAGGUUAUCCAUUAGCUUUCCUUGAUUAGACACCAACUCUCUCAGAGGUGGAAAAGUAUUAUUAUUGUUGUAAGAAUUAUUACCUUGAUAAUUACUUGAGUAGUUAGGCCUCUGUUGAUUCCAACCGUGGUUUUGUUGAGGACGGUUGUAGUAGUUGUUGUUAUUGUUGUUGAUGUAGUUCACAUCCUCAAGCAUCUCAGGGCAGUGAUUGCCUGAGUGUCCAGUGUCUCCACAUUCCUCACAAGUCAUGUGAGAGUCGUAGAUGUGCAUAACUUCGUUCUUAUCUCCAGCUCUAUCAUCGAGCUUCUUCAUGAGCAGGUCUAGCUUUGCAGACAGCAUGUCUACCUCCUUGAGCUGAUGCAUACCUCCACCUCUCUUGCAUGUCUGGGUCCUCUCUUCAUUCCAGCCUUGGUUUGACGCCAUCUUCUCCACAAGAGCUGUGGCUUGUGAUAUGGUAAGUGAUAAGAAUGCUUCUCCAGCUGCAACAUCCAUGGUCUCUCGGGUACUAUUGCCGAGCCCAUGAUAAAAUGUCUGCAUUAGUAGCUAACUCUCCAUUCCAUGACGGGGACAUUCUAGGAUGUAGUCUUGGAAGCACUCCCAUGCUUCUGGAAUGGAUUCAUCAUGUUGUUGCUGAAAACUUAUAAUUUUCCGACGGAGAGCAUUGGUCUUGCCCAUGGGAAAGAACUUAGCCAGGAAGUUUGUUGAGCAGAGUGCCCACGUAGUAUUCUUCUCCUUUGUAGCGUAGAACCACUGCUUCGCUCUUCCUAACAGUGAGAAUGGGAAGAGGCGAAGUAGUAUAGCAUCUCUAGGGACUCCUGAGAUGGCGAAUGUGCUGCAAAUCUCCAGGAAGUGUUGGAGAUGAGCACUAGCAUCUUCGUGUGCCUUCCCACAGAACUGAUUGGAUUGCACCUUGUUUAUAAGUACAGGCUUUAGCUCAAAGUUGUCAUCGAUCUCUGCAGCAGGUCCAGUAUGGAUGUUGUCCAUAGUGGGAGCUGAGAACUCACGGAUCGAUUUGUUUGCCAUGGCUUCGAACUCUGAAGACAAGUUCCGGUGAUCUUCUUGAUUGGUUGAAGCUUCUUGCUGAAGUGUUGAUGAUCUGUUCUUGAGCUUGGCUCUAGUUUUUCUGAAUAAGGCUUCAGGAUUGUCAACAAAAGUUCCUGGAAGAUGUCUUCUAUUCAUACAUUCCCCUACAUAAGAUAAAAUAGAAAAUACCAGGGUAAAACUGUAUGAGAGAAUUGAUAAGCUCAAUCAUAUUAGUGAUGCGAAUGAUAACUCAAAAUCCUAUAUUCAUUCCUGAUUAGUAAUCAACCUUCCCCAGCAACGGCGCCAAAAAUGCUGGUUGGGUAUUCUUAACAUCAUUACCAAAAGUAGACUUAGUUUUCUAAUUCUGAUAACGGUGCCAAAAAUGCCAAACCUAUCUCUCAUACCAUUUAAGCCAAGUUGUCAUCCCCAGCAUGACAUGAGAGACGCGGUAUUGAAAUAUGCAAUUGCUCUUCUAAGUAAAUAAUAAAUGGGAUCUGCAAGCGCACAAAUUAAUACCGAUGUAGCAUUUUAACCGGGAAGUAUUCCAGGUAUCGUUAUUUAUAUUUUUACCACUAGGAAGGGAUUAGUAACCAUCAAUAUUGAUUAUAGAAUAGAAUAUGAGAUUGAGUAUCUAUCAUUGCAUGUAUAAUUGAGAACAUUUAUCUAACUCUUUCAUACAGGGAUAAGUGUCACAUAAAAGAUAUAUGAAAUAAUGAAUAGUGACAAAGAUAAUUAAUCUGAUCAGCAUAACUUAGCCACAUAUAAAUAUGAUAAGCACCUCAAUUAGAUAUUCUAGCAAGUCAUUAGCAUGGUAUUAGAACGAACUACAAGAAUAUUUCCUAAGUUAUUCUCAACUAUAUAGUCUAGCAUUAUCAUAGUUAGUGUAAGCAUACUUAGCAAUCAUUGUGAGACAAGACUACGCCCAUGCAUAGUGAUAUUAGCAAGGAAUAUGAGAAACAUAGCAAUCACUCCCCUGUAAUAAUGUUGCUCUGCCAGCCCAAUACACGAGAGGGGGACUAUAUAAGAAUCAAUGAAGCUGUCACUAUCACGAACUACACCACGAUCUGGCAUAUUGGGUACAAUCGCAGAUAAAUACGGUAUAAGCACCACGCCUACACAAUAUCUAUCAUUUACCCAUGGAUCCGAUGGAUAAACGCUAUACGAUCCCAAACAUGUAUAUAGAUCCAAUCUAACUAAGCCAAGUAUAUAACCAUGAUAAACUAAGAACAAUAUAAUCUUGAAUAUAAACAAGUAGAGCAAAGUCAUAAGCAAUAUAUUGGAGUAGAACAAAGUCAUAUUCAUAAUAUUGAAGAACAAAGAUGAACAAUUAGAGAAUUACCAAGAAUCCUCUUGAUAGAUCUGGAAACCAAUCGAAGAUUGACUCCUUCUAGUUCUAAUCCUAUGUAGCUAUUGUUGACGGUUCUUAAGUAUCAAUUUUAAUUAUUAAAUAAACAAGGGAAAGGACCAAUAUGCAACCAACACCUAGAAUUAGGGUUUGAUCUGACAGAAUUCCAUGAGUUUUGUUGUUUAUCUGUUUCUGCAGGGGGUUAUCAGGAAAUAAGGAAGAAAGGCCCACAUGUCGGGAUUACAUAGAGAUAUCAACGCACCGCGCGAUUUUCUACCAUCUAGAAGACUCUAGAAGCCACGGGAAGAAGGCAGAGGCCGAAAGGGGCCAGGCCCAGGGCGCCCGCCCCCUGCUGGAUGCCAAUCAGGACUCUCUUCGCACGGGAUGUUCCACCGACCUAUUGGAUCAAGGAAAAUAUAGUACCACCUCGCCUACCGACCCAAAAACGCAUAGAGGAGGAGGACUAUAUAAGGAGACCCCCCUUGCCCCUGGAGAAGACAUGAAGAAAUUAUCAUAGAGAUUGAGGGGUGCCCUCGAAGGAAAACCUCUUCUCUAAUUAAUAUUUCUUUUUAGGCUUAGCAAACAAUGUAAAGUAGAAAUAGAUGUUCUAGUUUCUACUAGAUUGAGAGAGAUAGAGUGGAGGUGUAGAUUAGAGGAAGCCCGGCCUAUCGGUGUCUACUCCAAGCUUGUACCUGCGGGAUCAAGUUCUCCUAACCCGAAGCUUGCUCCUAGGAUUCUUCAGUAUUUCGACUUCUAAAUUAUACUAAGUUCUUGUUUUAUUGUUCUUCUGGUUUAUGAGUUUACUUUAAUCUCUUUGCGUAGAGUUUAGAGCAAUCAUUGCUGGCGUAAACGUGGUGUUUAGGCUGGGGAACUCAUAGAUAUUCCCUGACUAGCUGGACCGUGGUAGUAGCGAGGAACGUGACAAUUCCGAGUUACCUUUGCAGACCAUAUCGCGUUAGCAGGAAGGAUAGGGUUUAUAGGUGCGGGUUGAACAUCCUUUGUGGUGUCUAGAUUCCGUUAGCCUCCCCAAUAGAACAGUAGAUCAUCCUUACCAAGGUUAGAAGGAGACUACGGUUGCAGUCUUCUCUAUUUAUCACUCACAUCGAAAGACAUUCUUUGUUGCCUAAAGGUUAGUAGUAAUAGACCGGUUAGUCAGAUGCACUCUUUCUCAUAGUGGUAAAAAAAUAAAUACGAUACUUUGGAUAAUUUCCCGGGUGAAAUGCUCACCGAUAUCCGUGCGCUUGCGGAUCAAUUCCUUAUUGUGUUCCCAAAUAUCAAAAAGCAUUUCUGGCGCCGUUGUCGGGGAGAAAGACGGUUGCUGAGAUAACCUGAGUCUUACUACUGGCGCCGUUGUCGGGGAGAAAGACGGUUGCUGAGAUAAUCUAUACUUUUAUCUUUUCUUAUCUUUUAUAUUCUUUAUUUAUUUUCUUUACUCUUACCUUAUGGAAAACCAAAAUUCUAAAUCGAUCCAUGAGUCUGCAAUCCCUUCAGUAACUGACCUUUUACCAUGGGAAUCAUCACAGCUGUUGACACUUGCUAACACCACUUGAAUACUAGGUUGUCAUCCCUAGCAUGGCACUAGAGUGUACUAUGGUAUUUAUACACACACAGAUAAUCCGCAAGCGCACGGAUACCGUUGAAGCUUUCACCCGGUUAAAGGUUUUAUCGUAUCCACAGGGAAACGGGAGAACCAACUACGCUCUAACUUAACCAAGAUAGAUAGAUAGUGUAAAUAGGAAAGAUGGUAGAAUUGAAUAAGAACAAUAUUAAAGGUAAGAUAACAAUAGGUGAUAAUAUGGGAAUAGAGAGUAGAGCAAUUCUAGUAUAUGGGCGAUGGUAGCAGAAUAGAGAGAAUAACUAUGGCUUCUCUACUUCAAAGGGGUAUGUCUAUGUCCGGGACGAACCACGUGAUAAGAUUACACCACAAAGGAUGCUUAUCCAUAGGCCGAUAAACCCUACCCGUCCUGCUAACGAGAGGUGGACUACAGAGGACCAACGUAACUGUCACCUACGCGGCCUACCACACGAUCCAGCUAGACAGGGGAUAUCCAAAAGUAAUCUAGGUCUAAGCACCACGCUUACACCUAUACUACAACUCUCACCUAUAGCGUCCUAUAGAUUAGAAUACUCAAAAGAGUUGUGAACCAGAACAUACAUAAUUAGUAAUUGCAAAAUGAAUUAGAAGUAGAUUACCAGAGUCAUCCCAUGAGCAAGCUUGAUUAGAGCUUGAUCAUGACGAAGUACAACCGGAGGAAGAACCGACAGGCCGGCCUCUCCUCUAAUCCUCCUUCGCUCUCCAUCUUGCUACUAUCUAGAUCUACUCUAGUUUAGAGAAGAGAAGAGAGCUCUCAUCUCUAAACCCUAGCUUUUGCUCUGUCUAUGAAUAAUGAAUAAUGAUCAAGGGGUGCCUCCUCCAGGGGCUAGGGGGUCUGGUUAUAUAGUCUUUUCAGAUGAAUCUGGGCCGUCGGAUCAAACCGACAUUGAUCGUGUGGUUUUCCUUGAAGGAUUAGGUCGGUGGAGCAUGAUCCGCGAAGUUGAAGCUGAUUGGUUACUGUAGCUGGGCGGGCACCCAAGGGACUUGGGCGGGCGCCCUGCCCCCGGGCCCGAUCGGCCUCCCGUUCGUUCCCGUGGCUUCUGGAGUCUUCUAGAUGAUAGAAAAUUGCGCGGCACGUUAAUAUCUCUAUGUAAACACGACGUGUGGGCCUUUCUUUCAUAUUUCCUGAUAACCCCCUGCAGAAAUAGACAAACACCAAAACUCGUGGAAUUCUGUCAGAUAAAACCCUAAGUCUAGAUGUUGAUUUCAUUUGGAUCCUUUUCUUUGUUUAUUUGAUAAUUAAAUUUGAUACUUAAGGACUGUCAACAAACUCCCCCAAGCUUACCUCUUGCUCGUCCCUGAGCAAGGAUAGACUCAGCAAUCGAUCAGAAGUUGUUGCAAUAUCUUAAAAAUUUGACGGUACACAUGCUUUUAAAUAAGAUCUCAUCUCUGAGUUAGAGUAAACUGUCAAGAACUAAAACUUACUUACUUUACCUUUCACCAUAGGACUUGUAACCGUCACUUCUGUCUUAAGUAGUUAAAAGAUAGAACAGUCUAGCCAAGUGCCAUGUCUCUUAUCCUUGAUCAGCUAUAGCUCUAGAGUUUUUGCAGAUUUUCAAAUAAAACUCAGAGAUUCCUUGUAUGACUCUCUAAAUCUCUCUUUUGUGGUAUUUCUGGAUCCUUACCAAGGCAGUGAUGGUAUAUGUCUUCUCUCAAGAUAUGUGGUAUUUGUGGUAUAAGGCAUAGUGACAUUACCUUCUCUCUCACCCAACUUUAAUAAGGCUUUAAUAUCUGGAGCUCAUAGGUGGGAGAUAAAGUAUACAUACUUACAAGACAUUUAUUGCAUAGUCAAACCAUGGAUCCAAAGAAACAAAUCAUUAAGCCAAAUCAAGAUGUGCAUGUGUGGCGAAUGAAUAGUGUGUGGUGAUGAUGGUGGUAAUGGUGGAAGUCUAAUUCUACUUUUGCUCUUUUGAGGGGAUACAUACCUUCCUUGCUUUCUGAAACUUUAUGAGGAGAAUGAGAUGCUCUUCUUUUUCUUUCCUCUCAGGUGGGUAUCUUGUACCCCUAAUUCUACUGUCGGACACUUGUCCAUUUUUACCUCUCGUCUCACUUUUUCUUUGUUUCUUUCGAGGUUCCGGGCACUUGCCCCUUUUUAUUUCCUCGUAUUUUUCUUCUUUUUUUUUAGAGCACUCAUCUCAUGAGAUAAUAUAGCAAGUGGUAGUAACAAGAUAACUUGAGUAUUUAUUUCACAAGGAAGAAACAGAAAUAUUUUUGGUUAUUCUCUCCCGGAUUAGGAGUAGAAUAUUUUUGGGUGGCUCUGGAGAUGGAAAUGAGUGGAUAUAUGUGGAUGGUACUUCCGGAGUAGAAGCAGCAUGUAUGAGUGAACGUGCAAGUGAAUCUUGAUUUACCCACAUGACAAGCUCCUAAGGGUCUACACAGCUUGACCACACUCAAUGCUCAUAAGCAGUAAAUAACAAAUGUGUGGCUCAAAGUCUAGCAAGCAUGUAUAUAUGGCUGUGGUAGGAAUUUAAACUUUCAUCAUACAGGAACUCAUCAUGCAAUAUUUUAAAGAUUUUUCAAAGAUAAAAUUCUCCAGAAUUCUAGCAUCUCUAGGAAUAGAUAAACAGUAGCUCAACCUUCCCAUAUCAUAUCGGUUAACAACUUAGAUUUCAGAUCAAGUUUUCAUCCCACAAGUUUAGAUCUAGAGCAAGCUUUAAAUUAUAACAGUUAUGUCUAAACUUGAGAGAGAACUUCAAAUUUGCAAAUUAGGCAGAGCAACUAUUCAUCAUAUCCAUGCUAGAGUUUUAUUAUUAAGAUUCAGAUUAGCAUACCACUUUAUUUAUUUAUUAAACACAGUAAGCAAAAGAUAUAUAUAUAUAUAUAAGCACAAAAUCUUUAUUUGGUUUUUCAUAGUUUAUGUAUUUUAAUAUUCUAAUAUAAUAUAAGUAUAAAGAUAGGUAGAAAUACUUAGCGAGAUAAAUGGGGGUGCUCUCCCCCAAGCUGAAUUUUGACGUAAUUUCUCUUGAUGUAGCUAGCAGGUGGCAGAGGUGUAUUUGAAAGUCAGCAGCAUUCUGACAGCGAUUAGAAUGUCCUCCGUGUGCUAGUCUUCUUGAUUCUUAAAUUCUGUGGAGCUCAAAUAGACAACAAAGCUUGUGGAACUAAUUAAGUGUUAGCAUAAAUAUAUAGCCUUCAUCAUGUUGAGCUUCCUCAAUAAAUAUUACUCCCUGUUUUUAUAUUUUUAUUUUAUAAAGUAGAAAAGAAAUAUUUAUUUUAUUUUUAUGCCACCACAGUGACGGUACUUAUGGGUUUUAUGCCACUCGUAUACUCACGUGGGCUUAGUAUUUUUUAACAUUUUUAUUUUCUUUUCAAGAUAGCAUGAUUUAACUAAUAAUCUAUUUAAGGAAAGUAAAUAAUUAAAGGGAAAAGGAAUUGCAGAACGGAUAAAUAUGGAUAACUACCGAUCUUACCUUUCGGCGAUGGUUCAAUGUUUUAAGUCUUCUUGGCAAGACUUCUCACCGUGUUCAUUCUUCAGGUGCGUCAUUUGAUUCAGGUGCGGACCUUGACGUCUGCACCUCUUCGUUUGCCCAACAGUUCGAAGUGCGGCGUUGGCAGUAUCCUGCUCACUGUAUUUGAGCUCGUAGAUCCAGGUCCUUCACUUGGUAGAGUCUGAGAGUUAUAAAUCUCCUCCAUGUUUUGCUCGAAGUGUACCUGCUCAUAGAGACAAGGUAGAGAUCAAGUGCAUGGGUCCUGUUGGUGGAAAACACCAACAGAACCUAAAGUGUAUUUGUUCUUCUCUAACCCUAAGCAUAGUGAGCAAGACAAAGUUGAUGAAUGAUAAGUUCAUGAGUGUAGCAUUU
rnacentral:lncRNA from 1 species